GCCAACCCCAAAUGUGAAAGUUCAGCAAGCUGAGGAAGUGACGCAUCAGUUCUGCAGCUCUAAUAUUGGGAUCACUGGAACUGAUUCUGAAAUUGGAAUUCACUGAAGUUGACCUGAAGGGAAUGAAUAGGAUGUGGAAAGAGAGAUUGAAGAUUUCCCGAGUAGAAUUGCAAAAUUCUUCUCAUCUGCCUUGAAAUCCUAGUCUAGUGCCAAAUCUUUUUUGGGAAGCUCCAGAACCAGGACAGUUGAAACUAAAUAGUGAUGGUAGUUUUUUGAACCCGAGAUGCUUAGGUUUUGGUGCUGUAUUGAGAGACUCUGCAGGAAUUGUAGUAGCUUCAUCUUUUGGUAAAACUACAACUUCCUCCCCCAUCCAAGCAGAAGCAAUGGCAAUUCUCAACAGUUUGGAAAUUCUGAAUCAUUUUGAGAAAGAAACUCAAUGGAAUCAGACUGUCUAGCUCUAGUGCAAGCGCUGACCUCUAAGAACUUUGACUUGGCAUUGGACGCAAUUUUUUU